rnacentral:antisense_RNA from 1 species
GUGUCCACAGCCCUCGGGGCUCAACCUCAUCAGGCAGGAGGAGCUGAGCUGGCCCUGCAACCGAAGUCCAAGAUUUUUUGCCCCUGGAGGUUACCCAGGGUCCUUCUGUGGGCGAAAAUCUCAGAGCGGCGCCAGCCCCAAGUUCAGCCUCAGCCCA